UACGUAGGGUGCAAGCGUUGUCCGGAAUUAUUGGGCGUAAAGAGCUCGUAGGCGGUCUGUCGCGUCGGCUGUGAAAUCCCGAGGCUCAACCUCGGGUCUGCAGUCGAUACGGGCAAACUAGAGUAUUGCAGGGGAGACUGGAAUUCCUGGUGUAGCGGUGAAAUGCGCAGAUAUCAGGAGGAACACCGAUGGCGAAGGCAGGUCUCUGGGCAUUAACUGACGCUGAGGAGCGAAAGCAUGGGGAGCGAACAGG
rnacentral:rRNA from 1 species